rnacentral:rRNA from 1 species
UAAGUGGGAAACGAUGUGGGAAGGCACAGACAGCCAGGAUGUUGGCUUAGAAGCAGCCAUCAUUUAAAGAAAGCGUAAUAGCUCACUGGUCGAGUCGGCCUGCGCGGAAGAUGUAACGGGGCUAAACCAUGCACCGAAGCUGCGGCAGCGACGCUUAUGCGUUGUUGGGUAGGGGAGCGUUCUGUAAGCCUGCGAAGGUGGCCUGUGAGGGCUGCUGGAGGUAUCAGAAGUGCGAAUGCUGACAUAAGUAACGAUAAAGCGGGUGAAAAGCCCGCUCGCCGGAAGACCAAGGGUUCCUGUCCAACGUUAAUCGGGGCAGGGUGAGUCGACCCCUAAGGCGAGGCCGAAAGGCGUAGUCGAUGGGAAACAGGUUAAUAUUCCUGUACUUGGUGUUACUGCGAAGGGGGGACGGAGAAGGCUAUGUUAGCCGGGCGACGGUUGUCCCGGUUUAAGCAUGUAGGCGGAGGUUCCAGGUAAAUCCGGUACCUUUUAACGCUGAGGUGUGAUGACGAGGCACUACGGUGCUGAAGUAACAAAUGCCCUGCUUCCAGGAAAAGCCUCUAAGCAUCAGGUAACAUCAAAUCGUACCCCAAACCGACACAGGUGGUCAGGUAGAGAAUACCAAGGCGCUUGAGAGAACUCGGGUGAAGGAACUAGGCAAAAUGGUGCCGUAACUUCGGGAGAAGGCACGCUGGUGUGUAGGUGAAGUCCCUGCGGAUGGAGCUGAGACCAGUCGAAGAUACCAGCUGGCUGCAACUGUUUAUUAAAAACACAGCACUGUGCAAACACGAAAGUGGACGUAUACGGUGUGACGCCUGCCCGGUGCCGGAAGGUUAAUUGAUGGGGUUAUCCGUAAGGAGAAGCUCUUGAUCGAAGCCCCGGUAAACGGCGGCCGUAACUAUAACGGUCCUAAGGUAGCGAAAUUCCUUGUCGGGUAAGUUCCGACCUGCACGAAUGGCGUAAUGAUGGCCAGGCUGUCUCCACCCGAGACUCAGUGAAAUUGAACUCGCUGUGAAGAUGCAGUGUACCCGCGGCAAGACGGAAAGACCCCGUGAACCUUUACUAUAGCUUGACACUGAACAUUGAGCCUUGAUGUGUAGGAUAGGUGGGAGGCUUUGAAGCGUGGACGCCAGUCUGCGUGGAGCCAACCUUGAAAUACCACCCUUUAAUGUUUGAUGUUCUAACGUUGGCCCCUNACCGGGGUUGCGGACAGUGUCUGGUGGGUAGUUUGACUGGGGCGGUCUCCUCCCAAAGCGUAACGGAGGAGCACGAAGGUUAGCUAAUCCUGGUCGGACAUCAGGAGGUUAGUGCAAUGGCAUAAGCUAGCUUGACUGCGAGCGUGACGGCGCGAGCAGGUGCGAAAGCAGGUCAUAGUGAUCCGGUGGUUCUGAAUGGAAGGGCCAUCGCUCAACGGAUAAAAGGUACUCCGGGGAUAACAGGCUGAUACCGCCCAAGAGUUCAUAUCGACGGCGGUGUUUGGCACCUCGAUGUCGGCUCAUCACAUCCUGGGGCUGAAGUAGGUCCCAAGGGUAUGGCUGUUCGCCAUUUAAAGUGGUACGCGAGCUGGGUUUAGAACGUCGUGAGACAGUUCGGUCCCUAUCUGCCGUGGGCGCUGGAGAAUUGAGGGGGGCUGCUCCUAGUACGAGAGGACCGGAGUGGACGCAUCACUGGUGUUCGGGUUGUCAUGCCAAUGGCACUGCCCGGUAGCUAAAUGCGGAAGAGAUAAGUGCUGAAAGCAUCUAAGCACGAAACUUGCCCCGAGAUGAGUUCUCCCUGAGACUUUAAGUCUCCUGAAGGAACGUUNNNNNNNNGACGUUGAUAGGCCGGGUGUGUAAGCGCAGCGAUGCGUUGAGCUAACCGGUACUAAUGAACCGUGAGGCUUAACCUU